AUGGACCGACAGCUGUUGAGGAGGUGGUCCAAAACAGCCGAAAGGCUUCCCCUUAAGAUAUUUUUAAAAAUCAUGACCAGAAUUGUCAAAAAUGUGGAGCAAUAUACAGGCAUCCUCAUAUAUGGCACCAGCAAUGACCGUGAGCUCCUGAAUUGGCAAGUUCAGUUCCAAGGCCUGGGAAAAGCCAGGGACAAUCAUAUGAGACAAAAAGAAACACGUGGCCAAGCAUCCCAGCACAACAAUCAGGCCUUAAUGAUCAGGUUGGUGCUGCUAAUUAAAUGCUGUCAACUGGGCACAGCAAGGUUAGUUGCUCAGAAUUUUUCUUAUAAUGUUUAGGGCCCUUUGCCCUUUAUCCAUUCUUUUUGUUUCUUUUCUAAUCCGAAGGCAUUGCUGUUCUUAUCUUUCAAGAUUCAGCCUGACCAAUAAAUAGUUUUUGUGAGCAAUUAUAGUAUAAAUA
rnacentral:lncRNA from 13 species